CCUUACCUACCCUUGACAUGUCUGGAAUCCUGAAGAGAUUUGGGAGUGCUCGAAAGAGAGCCAGAACACAGGUGCUGCAUGGCCGUCGUCAGCUCGUGUCGUGAGAUGUUGGGUUAAGUCCCGCAACGAGCGCAACCCUUGUCAUUAGUUGCUACGAAAGGGCACUCUAAUGAGACUGCCGGUGACAAACCGGAGGAAGGUGGGGAUGACGUCAGGUCAUCAUGGCCCUUAUGGGUAGGGCUACACACGUCAUACAAUGGCCGGGACAGAGGGCUGCCAACCCGCGAGGGGGAGCUAAUCCCAGAAACCCGGUCGUAGUCCGGAUCGUAGUCUGCAACUCGACUGCGUGAAGUCGGAAUCGCUAGUAAUCGCGGAUCAGCUUGCCGCGGUGAAUACGUUCCCGGGUCUUGUACACACCGCCCGUCACACCAUGGGAGCGGGUUCUGCCAGAAGUAGUUAGCCUAACCGCAAGGGGGGCG
rnacentral:rRNA from 1 species